rnacentral:rRNA from 1 species
GUGGGGAAUAUUGGGCAAUGGGCGCAAGCCUGACCCAGCGACGCCGCGUGGGGGAAGAAGUCUUUCGGGAUGUAAACCCUUGUUGUACGGGACGAAACGAAUGACGGUACCGUACGAGGAAGUCCCGGCAAACUACGUGCCAGCAGCCGCGGUAAUACGUAGGGGGCGAGCGUUGUCCGGAAUUACUGGGCGUAAAGCGCACGUAGGCGGGCUGUCAAGUCGGCCGUGAAAGGCACUGGCCCAACCGGUGUUUGUCGGUCGAUACUGGCGGUCUGGAGUAUGGGAGAGGGAACUGGAAUUCCCGGGGUAGCGGUGAAAUGCGUAGAUAUCGGGAGGAACACCCGUGGCGAAGGCGGGUUCCUGGCCCAUUACUGACGCUGAGGUGCGAAAGCCGGGGGAGCGAACGGGAUUAGAAACCCGGGUAGUCC